rnacentral:lncRNA from 1 species
AUUAUGAAAAUAUAAUUAUUUAAAGGUAAAUUUGAGAAAUUGUAUCAAAUUUGUGGUAAAACUAAAAUUAUUCCAUAAAUAUGAAGUCUUCUGUUAGAACACUCAUGUAAUCAAAAAGUGAAAACAUAUUAUAUAAAGCACCAGAAGAGUAAACUAUUUAAAAAUAUCUUUUCAGCUAUCUUGUUAUUCCAAAAAAAAAAAAAAUAUCCCUUUCAGCAUUUAUAUUCUCAGGAAAGGUAAACUUGAGUGUAAAUAAUCAAUUAUCUAAAAUGAAAUCGUAAUAAUUAAUUAUAUUUGUUGACCAAAACGAUAGUGAUCUAGUUGUUGGUAUACACAUCACUAAGAACAUAUAUAAUCAAUGUAAAGCACAUAUCUUGCGAUUUUUAUUAUCCACUGAAUCCAUAAAGAAAGAAAAUGAUCGUUAGAAGAAUGGUUACAUCGGAAUCCAAAUUCGAAAUCAACAUAGUCGCAUGCUUACUCUAUGUCUACCUUCUCAUAACACCUGUAAAGGCAUUUCCCUGAAAUUAUAUUUAUCAUUUGAAACUUCUUUUAGUUAGUACUAACUAUAAUAAUUUGGAGAAAU